rnacentral:rRNA from 1 species
GUGGGGAAUCUUGCGCAAUGGGCGAAAGCCUGACGCAGCCAUGCCACGUGAAUGAUGAAGGUCUUAGGAUUGUAAAAUUCUUUCACCGGGGACGAUAAUGACGGUACCCGGAGAAGAAGCCCCGGCUAACUUCGUGCCAGCAGCCGCGGUAAUACGAAGGGGGCUAGCGUUGCUCGGAAUUACUGGGCGUAAAGGGCGCGUAGGCGGACAGUUUAGUCAGAGGUGAAAGCCCAGGGCUCAACCUUGGAAUUGCCUUUGAUACUGGCUGUCUUGAGUACGGGAGAGGUGAGUGGAACUCCGAGUGUAGAGGUGAAAUUCGUAGAUAUUCGGAAGAACACCAGUGGCGAAGGCGACUCACUGGCCCGUUACUGACGCUGAGGCGCGAAAGCGUGGGGAGCAAACAGGAUUAGAAACCCAGGUAGUCC